rnacentral:rRNA from 1 species
GAGGAUACGGUUAACGGAGCGAAAGCGACGUUCAACCUCAAAAGAAGCAGAGGGGGCUUAGUGGUGGGGUGACUGCGUACCUUUUGUAUAAUGGGUCAGCGACUUAUAUUCUGUAGCAAGGUUAACCGAAUAGGGGAGCCGGAGGGAAACCGAGUCUUAACCGGGCGUUAAGUUGCAGGGUAUAGACCCGAAACCCGGUGAUCUAGCCAUGGGCAGGUUGAAGGUUGGGUAACACUAACUGGAGGACCGAACCGACUAAUGUUGAAAAAUUAGCGGAUGACCUGUGGCUGGGGGUGAAAGGCCAAUCAAACCGGGAGAUAGCUGGUUCUCCCCGAAAGCUAUUUAGGUAGCGCCUCGUGAAUUCAUCUCCGGGGGUAGAGCACUGUUUCGGCUAGGGGGCCAUCCCGGCUUACCAACCCGAUGCAAACUGCGAAUACCGGAGAAUGUUAUCACGGGAGACACACGGCGGGUGCUAACGUCCGUCGUGAAGAGGGAAACAACCCAGACCGCCAGCUAAGGUCCCAAAGUCAUGGUUAAGUGGGAAACGAUGUGGGAAGGCCCAGACAGCCAGGAUGUUGGCUUAGAAGCAGCCAUCAUUUAAAGAAAGCGUAAUAGCUCACUGGUCGAGUCGGCCUGCGCGGAAGAUGUAACGGGGCUAAACCAUG